GCCUAGAACUUAGAAGGAUGAAGGAAAAUUAUUUUCCUCUCCUACACUCAUCAUGGAAGAGAAAGAGAACAUGGUAGAAACACAUGGUGUCUCCUAGAACUUCUGCUUAAAGGUAUGGCGGAAGGAAAUGAAGACUCUCUAAACAAGAACAAUAAAGGCUACCUGAGCUUCUAUGUGGCUGGGGAGUCAGCCACCUUCACUUGCACUUGGCAGACUCAAAGGCAGACAGGGGCGUGGAAAAGCUUGACAGUAGAAAAAAGGCAGACUUCCUUCGGCUCUGAUUGGCUGAUGGCGGCACAGGGAAGCUCUAGAUAUCAUCGUCACCUUCAUCGUUACUAACAUGUGGAGCACCUAACACAGUGAUGGCGAACCUAUGACACGCGUGUCAGAGGUGACACGCGAACUCAUUUUUUUG